GACGAACGCUGGCGGCGUGCUUAACACAUGCAAGUCGAACGGAAAGGCCCUGCUUUUGUGGGGUGCUCGAGUGGCGAACGGGUGAGUAACACGUGAGUAACCUGCCCUUGACUUUGGGAUAACUUCAGGAAACUGGGGCUAAUACCGGAUAGGAGCUCCUGCUGCAUGGUGGGGGUUGGAAAGUUUCGGCGGUUGGGGAUGGACUCGCGGCUUAUCAGCUUGUUGGUGGGGUAGUGGCUUACCAAGGCUUUGACGGGUAGCCGGCCUGAGAGGGUGACCGGCCACAUUGGGACUGAGGUACGGGCCAGACUCCUACGGGGGGCAGAAGGGGGGAAUAUUGCACAAUGGGCGGAAGCCUGAUGCAGCAACGCCGGGUGCGGGAUGACGGCCUUCGGGGUGUAAACCGCUUUCGCCUGUGACGAAGCGGGAGUGAAGGUAAUGGGUAAAGAAGGACCGGCUAACUACGUG
rnacentral:rRNA from 1 species